UCGCAGCGCAUGUUUAAUCACAAUAUUUCUAAAAUUAACACCUUUCAGUCUUGCUGUUCGAAUGUAUUGGCUUGUCAUCACUUCCGCCAUAGAGGCUCUUGUCAUUCUGGCGAUGUAACCCAUGCCGUAAAGCGCGAUUGUAAGAACCGGUAACAUAAAAUUCUCUAAUGUCGGG
rnacentral:ncRNA from 1 species